CUCCCCAACUUAGUUUUUUCUUAAGUCAGAAGGCUGUUACUUGCUACCAAAUAAUGCCAACUAAGACAACUGAGGUACAGUAUAUUCUCUCGUAAAACACCAUAGAGUUGAUGACUUGAUCCUAUAGAAAAGGGUCCCCAACCCCUGGGCCACAGACCGGUACUGGUCCCUGGUCUGUGAGGAACCACCUGGGCCACAGACUGGUCCUGGUCCCUGGUCUGUGAGGAACCAGGCCAUACAGCAGGAGGUAAGCGAGCAUUCCUGCCUGAGCUCUGCCUCCUGUCAGAUGAGCCACAACAUUAGAUUCUCAUAGGAGUGCGAACCCCGUUGUGAACCCCGCAUGCGAGGGAUCUAGGUAGUGCCCUCCUUAAGAGAAUCUAAUGUCUGAUGAUCUGAGGUAGAGCAGUUUCAUCCUACAACCAUCCCCACCCCCCGACCCCCAUCCAUGAAAAAAUUGUCUUCCUCAAAACUAGUCCCUGGUGCCAAAAAGUUUGGGGACCGCCGUCCUAGGAAAUACCAACAAAAAGUCACGUUUAUUGCCUGCCAAGUGAGUCAGGUUUAGACAAGGCAGAACUUAGUAUAUAGCUUGGAUGAAUCAGAAAGGGUGGGCCUUGAAAGACUGGUAGAAUGUGUCCAAGAAAACUGAUUAAAAGCCUUAGAAGUCCCUCUACAGUUUCAGGACGCCCUCUUAACAGAUGGCUGUAUCUUUAUCUGUGGUUGGUCUUGUGGAAUACUGACUUUCUGCCAGCAUUAGCCUGUGUUUCUAUGUCACACCAAGUCACGUAUAUUUUCAUUGUGUGUUAGGACUCAGAAUAGGUUUGGGUCUUUCUUUUAAUUAUGUAUACCCAAUUACUUAGUCCUCCUCACACCCUGAUCCUUUAAAAAUUCUUAAGUUGUGUUAAUUGCAUUUUUCUCAAUUCUACUCCUAGUAACUCUGUGUGUUUUUUUCCAUCUUUAUUCAUUUAGUAAAGUUGAAACCUUUCAUAGCAUAAUAUAGUGAUUAAGUGCAUAGGUUUGGGACUUAGACACACAUGGGCUUGCUUGUCUCCCAGUUCUGCCGCUUACCACCUAUGUGACCUUUCACUCUUUACCUUUCCA
rnacentral:lncRNA from 10 species